CGUUGGAACCUGCCCCAAAGUGAGGAAUAAGCCACCGAAAGUGGUCUAAUACUUCAUAAUAUCCAUCUCGUAUGGAUUAAAGCUUUAUGCGCUUUGGAGGGGCCUGCGUAACAUUAGCUUGUUGGUGAGGUAAAAGCUCACCAAGGCUUCGAUGUUUAACUGGUUUGAGAGGAUGACCAGUCACACUGGGACUGAGAUACGGCCCAGACUCCUACGGGAGGCAGCAGUAAGGAAUCUUCCACAAUGGGGCAACCCUGAUGGAGCAAUACCGCGUGCAGGAUGAAGCGUUUCGGCGUGUAAACUGCUUUUAUCACCGAAGAUUAUGACUGUAGGUGAAGAAUAAGGACCGGCUAACUACGUG
rnacentral:rRNA from 1 species